GACGUAGGGUGCAAGCGUUGUCCGGAUUUAUUGGGCGUAAAGAGUUCGUAGGCGGUUACUUAAGUCUGGUGUUAAAGACUGGAGCUCAACUCCAGCAUGGCAUCGGAAACUGGGUGGCUAGAGUGCGGUAGAGGUAUCGGGAAUUCCAGGUGUAGCGGUGAAAUGCGUAGAUAUCUGGAGGAACACCAGUGGCGAAAGCGCGAUACUAGGCCGUAACUGACGCUGAGGAACGAAAGCCAGGGUAGCAAAAGGG
rnacentral:misc_RNA from 1 species